rnacentral:rRNA from 1 species
GACGAACGCUGGCGGCGUGCUUAACACAUGCAAGUCGAGCGAAGCCCCUCCUUCGGGAGGGUGUCCUAGCGGCGAACGGGUGAGUAACACGCGGGCAACCUGCCCUCAGCUCUGGGAUAACUCCGUGCAACCGGGGCUAAUACCGGAUACGACCUCCACGGGCAUCUGCGGAGGUGUAAAGAUUUUCGGCUGUGGCUGGGCCCGCGGCCUAUCACCUAGUUGGUGAGGUAGUGGCCCACCAAGGCGACGACGGGUAGCCGGCCUGAGAGGGCGACCGGCCACCAUGGGACUGCGGGACGGAGCAGAAGCCAAUGUGAGGCAGCGGGCGGGAGUAUGACGCAACGGGCGAGAGCGUGUCACAGAGACGCCGGGUGCGGGAAGAAGGCCUACGGGUGGUAAACAUAUUUCAGAAGGGACGAGGAGAAAGUGACGGUACCUGCAGAAGAAGCACCGGCCAACUACGUG